rnacentral:lncRNA from 1 species
UACAAAUUAGUUAGACUGGACUAUACGUAAAAUUAAUACAUGUUUUUUUAGCAUGUUUAGUGAAAAAACAUUUAGUUAUAUUGCAUAACCCUUAAAAUUCGUGAGUUUUCAUUUGACUUGAGAUCUUUGACCACAUAGCUUUACAGGAACUUGCAUGUAUCUUUUAACAAAGGCCUAAAAUAAAAUAUUGUUUGUUUCCCCAAUCCAGACCAACUCUGCAGAAACAGUGCUACUAAUAAAAUUUUAUCAUGUUUAUUGUCAAAACUCUUUAAGUCGAAAAUUAUUUUAUUUAUUUCAUAUUUUCAGGCUUGCAGCAUCAUCCGAUACUAUGAUACUAUUCAGGCUAUUUGGAAAAAAUAUAUAAUUAUUUCCCUACCUUUAGCUAUCUACCCACACCUGGCUUGGCAGGGUUGGAAUUGGGGGAAC